GGGGCUACACACGUCAUACAAUGGCCGGUACGAGAGGGUAGCCAACCCGCGAGGGGGAGCCAAUCCCACAAAGCCGGUCGUAGUCCGGAUCGCAGUCUGCAACUCGACUGCGUGAAGUCGGAAUCGCUAGUAAUCGCGGAUCAGCAUGUCGCGGUGAAUACGUUCCCGGGUCUU
rnacentral:rRNA from 1 species